CCCUUAGAUGUUCGGGGCCGCACGCGCGCUACACUGAAGGAAUCAGCACGUCUUUCUCCUUGUCCGAAAGGACUGGGUAACCCGCUGAACCUCCUUCGUGCUAGGGAUUGGGGCUUGUAAUUCUUCCCCAUGAACGAGGAAUUCCCAGUAAGCGCGAGUCAUAAGCUCGCGUUGAUUACGUCCCUGCCCUUUGUAUACACCGCCCGUCGCUACUACCGAUUGGAUGGUUUAGUGAGAUCCUCGGAUUGGUCCCGGAGCGGCCUCUGGUCGUGCCGGAGUGCCGAAAAGAAUGUCGAACUUGAUCAUCUAGAGGAAGUAAAAGUCGUAACA
rnacentral:rRNA from 1 species